ensembl:snoRNA
GCAUGGGUUUGGAUUUAUGACAGGCCCAUCCCCCUGGGCCUCUCAUAGUGCCCCAUGCCAGAGCAAACUGUCACCCUAGACCAAUGUCUGGUCUCUGUGCCUAUAGGCUGCUGGUGCUGAAGCGGGUUGAAGAGUA